rnacentral:rRNA from 1 species
UACUCCUACGGGAGGCAGCAGUGGGGAAUUUUGGACAAUGGGCGAAAGCCUGAUCCAGCAAUGCCGCGUGUGUGAAGAAGGCCUUCGGGUUGUAAAGCACUUUUGUCCGGAAAGAAAUCCUUGGCUCUAAUACAGUCGGGGGAUGACGGUACCGGAAGAAUAAGCACCGGCUAACUACGUGCCAGCAGCCGCGGUAAUACGUAGGGUGCAAGCGUUAAUCGGAAUUACUGGGCGUAAAGCGUGCGCAGGCGGUUUGCUAAGACCGAUGUGAAAUCCCCGGGCUCAACCUGGGAACUGCAUUGGUGACUGGCAGGCUAGAGUAUGGCAGAGGGGAGUAGAAUUCCACGUGUAGCAGUGAAAUGCGUAGAGAUGUGGAGGAAUACCGAUGGCGAAGGCAGCCCCCUGGGCCAAUACUGACGCUCAUGCACGAAAGCGUGGGGAGCAAACAGGAUUAGAUACCCUGGUAGUCCACGCCCUAAACGAUGUCAACUAGUUGUUGGGGAUUCAUUUCCUUAGUAACGUAGCUAACGCGUGAAGUUGACCGCCUGGGGAGUACGGUCGCAAGAUUAAAACUCAAAGGAAUUGACGGA